UGGGCUGACUCACUAAAACUCAGCAACUUAAAAAGCCUUGCCCUGCAGGCUCCAAAAGGCCCUUUAAAGUGCCACAUUUCAGUGCAUCUCAGCCAUUCUGCUUCAUGAUGUUUUGGAUUAAACUUUUCCUUUCAAGGAAGAAGCAGGGGGAAUUUUAUUUGCAUUCUCUGGAGCUACUGAGGUAAGAAAAAGGAAAGGCUCAUAAAGGGACUGCAAUAAGUCUGCUGGAGAUGUCUUUGCAGACUCUUUCUCCUCCCCAGAUUGGAAUGCGCUUAAGCUCCUUUGGUCUGCUUAUUUCUUUUCCCUGGCAGCCCUUGGGGCAGAGUUUCUCAACUGUGUCCCUUCCCCUGAGCCCCAUUUUGAAGCGGCAUCAAGAAGACUUUACGAGCUGAUGUAAAUCAACAGCUGCAUGGACCAGCAGGGUGACUGCUUAAAAAAGAUGUAUUGACCACAGUGCAAAAUAAAAGAUGAAUCUGAA